CCUGUUCAGUCGCACGCCGCACUCACUUCACAUCCCAGCGUCUGUGUCUGUGGCUGUGAGGCAAGCAGGAUUCGAGCGGGAUAAAUAUUUCAACGGAUGCACCAAACGGCAGAUCCUGAUGCUUGAUCGGGUUCCAGGUCGUGUGGGGAAAUCCUGACAGACUUGCCAACGGGACACUCUACAUCAGGUCUGUAGAGAUUUAGACCCUGAUCUGUGGAAUCCUGCUUCCUUUCCGUUCAGUGUCAGAGCAGGAGCGACACGUCGCUCGGCAUGCUGGGAAAAGAAGGCACAAGCCGUCCUCUUUCAGCGCCUUAGCCGGAAAAAAAGGCGCAGGUGGCGCGUCUGAGGGAGUGAUCGCUAUCUCGGUCCCCCACCACACCCCCCCCCCACACGCCACGGCCGGCAGCUGUGUCGUCUGAAGCGUGGCUGACACGCGAGGUCGGGCAGCGGGGAGAAGAAACGUCGCCACGGUGAUGAACGUCUCUCCCUCUCUCUGUGAGUCACCGCCGCGCCGAUCUGCGCGGUCAGGGUUACGGGUGAGUUACGGAGACGAGAGCACGUCGGCCGCGAACAGACCGCACCAGCCGCGGCAAGUCCGCCGAUCCGAUCGGAAAACAGCCAUCCUGCCGGUCCUGCGUCUGAUCCUGCCAUUGGACGGCUUCCUCUCUAUCAUUCGCUUCCUGCCUGUCUUCCAGCUGUCGCAUUUCGCCUUUGAAAUGUGACUGAAAAUACCGUUCGGGGGAAUAUGGCAGCAGAGGACACCAGAAUUAUUAAAGUAUUCCACCUG